rnacentral:misc_RNA from 1 species
AAGUCGUAACAAGGUUUACCGUGAGGGUGAACCUGCGGAAGGAUCCAAUUGACUGAGGGUUAGGGUUUCGUUUCGAGCCCGAUCUCCAACCCUAUGUUAAACUACCUUUGUUGCUUUGGCAGGCCCGUUCUUAACGGGACCGCCGGAGGUGUUUAGUCACCUCUGGCCCGUGCCUGCCAGUAGCCUACACAAAUUCUUUUACAAUUUUGUCUAAGUAUUAAAUAUAAAUUUAAUCAAAA